rnacentral:rRNA from 1 species
GACGAACGCUGGCGGCGGGCUUAACACAUGCAAGUCGAACGGAAAGGCCCUGCUUUUGUGGGGUGCUCGAGUGGCGAACGGGUGAGUAACACGUGAGUAACCUGCCCUUGACUUUGGGAUAACUUCAGGAAACUGGGGCUAAUACCGGAUAGGAGCUCCUGCUGCAUGGUGGGGGUUGGAAAGUUGCGGCGGUUGGGGAUGGACUCGCGGCUUAUCAGCUUGCUGGUGGGGUAGUGGCUUACCCAGGCUUUGACGGGUCGCCGGCCUGAGAGGGUGGCCGGCCACAUUGGUCCUGAGAUACGGCGCAGACUCCAACGGGAGGCAGCAGGGGCAAGUAUUGCGCAAUGGGCGGACGCGUGAUGCAGCAGCGCCGCGUGCGGGAUGAAGGCCUUCCGGUUGUAAACCGCGUUCGCCUGUGACGAAGCGUGAGUGACGGUAAUGGGUAAAGAAGCACCGGCUAACUACGUG